UCCAUGUAAGAGCAAGGAGAGGUCAAGCAACAGACAGUCACAGCUUAGCUGAGAGGGUGAGAAGACAAAAAAUUAGUGUGAGGAUGAAACUAUUGCAAUCACUUGUUCCAGGGUGUGAUAAGGUAACAGGCAAGGCUUUAAUAUUGGAUGAAAUUAUUAAAUAUGUCCAAACCCUACAGUCUCAAGUAGAGUACCUGGCUGCAAAACUUACUUCUGUA